rnacentral:rRNA from 1 species
GGCGGGCCUACUUCAUGCAAGUCGAAGCGGACAGAUGGGAAGCUUGCUCCCUGAUGUUAGCGGCGGACGGGUGAGUAACACGUGGGUAACCUGCCUGUAAGACUGGGAUAACUCCGGGAAACCGGGGCUAAUACCGGAUGGUUGUUUGAACCGCAUGGUUCAGACAUAAAAGGUGGCUUCGGCUACCACUUACAGAUGGACCCGCGGCGCAUUAGCUAGUUGGUGAGGUAACGGCUCACCAAGGCGACGAUGCGUAGCCGACCUGAGAGGGUGAUCGGCCACACUGGGACUGAGACACGGCCCAGACUCCUACGGGAGGCAGCAGUAGGGAAUCUUCCGCAAUGGACGAAAGUCUGACGGAGCAACGCCGCGUGAGUGAUGAAGGUUUUCGGAUCGUAAAGCUCUGUUGUUAGGGAAGAACAAGUGCCGUUCAAAUAGGGCGGCACCUUGACGGUACCUAACCAGAAAGCCACGGCUAACUACGUGCCAGCAGCCGCGGUAAUACGUAGGUGGCAAGCGUUGUCCGGAAUUAUUGGGCGUAAAGGGCUCGCAGGCGGUUUCUUAAGUCUGAUGUGAAAGCCCCCGGCUCAACCGGGGAGGGUCAUUGGAAACUGGGGAACUUGAGUGCAGAAGAGGAGAGUGGAAUUCCACGUGUAGCGGUGAAAUGCGUAGAGAUGUGGAGGAACACCAGUGGCGAAGGCGACUCUCUGGUCUGUAACUGACGCUGAGGAGCGAAAGC